AUACGUAGGUGACAAGCGUUAUCCGGAUUUACUGGGCGUAAAGGGCGUGUAGGCGGUCUUGCAAGUCAGAAGUGAAAUUCCUGAGCUCAACUCGGGCGCUGCUUCUGAAACUGCAGGACUUGAGUGCUGGAGGGGAUAGCGGAAUUCCUAGUGGAGCGGUAAAAUGCGCAGAUAUUAGGAGGAACACCAGUGGCGAAGGCGGCCUGCUGGACGACAACUGACGCUGAGGCGCGAAAGCGUGGGGAGCAAACAGGAUUAGAUACCCUGGUAGUCCACGCUGUAAACGAUGAAUACUAGGUGUGGGGGGACUGACCCCCUCCGUGCCGCAGUUAACACAAUAAGUAUUCCACCUGGGGAGUACGAUCGCAAGAUUGAAACUCAAAUGAAUUGGCGGGG
rnacentral:rRNA from 1 species